GUCUGAUUUUUUAAAGAAUUUAUUUGCAAAUUAUGGUGGAAAAUAAGUAUUUGGUCAAUAACAAAAGUUCCUCUCAAUAAUUUGUUAUAUACCCUUUGUUGGCAAUGACAGAGAUCAAACGUUUUCUUUAAGUCUCACAAGAUUUUCACACACUGUUGCUGGUAUUUUGGCCAAUUCCUCCAUGCAGAUCUCCUCUAGAGAAGUGAUGUUUUGUGGCUGUCACUGGGCAACACGGACCUUCAACUCCGUCCAAAGGUUUUUUAUGGGGUUGAGAUCUGGAGACUGGAUAGGCCACUCCAGGACCUUGAAAUGCUUCUUACGAAGCCACUCCUUCAUUGCCCGGGUGGUGUGUUUGGGAUCAUUGUCAUGCUAAAAGACCCAGCCACGUUUCAUCUUCAAUGCCCUUGCUGAUGGAAGGUUUUCACUCAAAAUCUCACAAUAAAUUACCCCAUUCUUUCCUUUACACGAAUCAGUUGUCCUGGUCCCUUAACAGAAAAACAGCACCAAAGCAUGAUGUUUCCCCCCUAUGCUUCACAGUAGGUAUGGCGUUCUUUGGAUACAAUUAAGCAUUCGCUCUCCCCCCCAAACACGACAAGUUGAGUUUUUACCAAAAAGUUCUACUUUGGUUUCAUAUGACAUUCUCCCGAUACUCUCCUGGAUCAUCCAAAUGCUCUCUAGCAAACUUCAGACAGGCCCGUCCGUACAUGUACUGGCUUAAGCAGGGGGACACAUCUGGCACUGCAUGAUUUGAGUCCCUGGCAUAGUAUGUUACUAAUGGUAGCCUUUGUUACUUUGGCCCCAGCUCUCUGCAGGUCAUUCACUAGGUCCCCCCGUGUGUUUCUGGGAUUUUUGCUCACCAUUCUUGUGAUCAUUUUGACACCACGGGGUGAGAUCUUGCAUGGAGCACUAGAUCGAGGGAGAUUACCAGUGGUCUUGUGUGUCUUCCAUUUUCUAAUCAUUGCUCCCACAGUUUAUUUCUUCACACCAAGCUGCUUGCCCAUUGAAGAUUCAGCUUCCCAGCCUGGUGCAGGUCUACAAUUUUGUUUCUAAUGUCUUUCGACAGCUCAUUGGUCUUGACCAUAGUGGAGUUUGGAGUGUGAUUGUUUGAGGUUGUGGACAGGUGUCUUUUAUACUGAUAACAAGUUCAAACAGGUGCUAUUAAUACAGGUAACGAGUGGAGGACAGAGGAGACUCUUAAAGAAGAAGUUACACAUCUGUGAGAGCCAGAAAUCUUGCUUGUUUGUAGGUGACCAAAUACUUAUUUUCCACCAUAAUUUGCAAAUAAAUUCUUUAGAAGUCAGACAAUGUGAUUUUAUGGAUUUUUUUCUUAUUAUGUCUCUCAUAGUCGAGGUAUACCUAUGAUGAAAAUUACAGGCCUUUCUCAUCUUUUUAAAGUACUCCAGGAUGGGGAAACUGCAGUUUUUGAGCCAAAGUCAGAAGUGGAUCCAGUAGGAAGGAGAAGUACGGUAUAUUUUCCAUUCCUUUUGAACACACUUCUGGCUUUGGCUCAAAAACUGCAGUGCCAGUUUUUAAAAAAUAAAAUAAAAAUGAUAAAAAACACACCAGAAAAAAGCUGUGCUGUGUGGAAACCUAGCCUAAGACAUCAGUAUUGCGCGUAAGGAGGAAAACCACUGCAGCUGGUUGCAGAAAGCCAGUUCAAGCAUCUGAAAUGCCUAUAAUCUGGAGUAUAGAACCCAAUCCCAAUGGUUUCAGGCCACAUACACAUCAGAAUAUGGGCAUCAUAUUUUCUUUACACUGUGAUUCAUCAGGCAGCAGAUAAGCACAUCUGUCACUUGUAAUAUAAUAACUCAUUUGACAUUGACUCAGGCCAGAAUUGUGUGAAUAUAUUCUAUAUAAUGAUAUUGUUACCGAGCAUGACAUUAAAUUGCAUGGUUUCCUGGUGAAGAUUAGAGGACUCUUCAUUUGUCACCCAGACAUUUUGGUCAAGGAAUAAACAGAUUAUUUUCCAUUCACAGACUUGUAUGUGGACUUUUAUAAAUCUUUCCACAUAAAAAGUAGUCACCAUUAAAAAACUGUUUGUGUGAUAUUUCCACUAGAAUAUCCAAUUUAUUGAACUCAAAUCUGACUUUACUUACUAGUAAAAACUUAUUUUCUACUUUUGUAGUUGUACUUGGUUACUGUAUCAGUUUCCUUUUUUAUACUGUAUUUUUUUUCCUUCUUAUGAAAACCAUAAAAAGCAAGACCCUGACUUUACAUGUCUUCUUCUUUCAGAAUGGAAAUAAUAAAAGUAAAACUUGA